ACCCCUUUCACGCGCCGCCCCGACCCCUUCUCCCUUCUCCCUUCUCCCUUCUCGCUUCUCCUUUCUCCCUUUUCUUCGUUCUCCUUCCUCCCCAUUUCUCUUCCUUUUUAUUCCAGCCACCCUUUCUCCUCUUUUCCUUUACUUCCAGCAGCCAGCAACUUGCUGUUUUUUUCCAGCCACGGAUCGGCAACUCUUUUUUAUUUUUUUCAGCCGCCGGCAAUCUUUUUCUUCUCUAACCCCCUAAUAAAUCAGCAAGAGCAGGAACUCCAGUCACCAACAACAAGCCACCAAUAACAGCAGUUUCCUUUGCAUCACGGCAGCAGUUGCUGGAGUCCACCGGAGCUAGCCAAAGCCGCAGGCAAAGAGGGUAAGCAACAAGAGCAAAGAGGUUCUGUUCUUUUUCUUUCCAACAACAGCAGCCCUCCCAGCAAGCUAGCACCAUCAUUGCUGUUUUUUCUUUCUCCCAACCACCAGCCCUUCUUUUGUUUUUUCGCUGUUUAUUUAGCGGAGCUGAGAGAAAAGAGAGUCAACUACUUGACUUUCUCCAUUUUCAAUCUUCGUUCAACGAGGUUAACAUUUCCACGAUGGCUAAGUAAAGGUUUAAUUGACUCGACCGUUCGUAUCAAAUAAAUCUCUCCCUCAUUUCAUUGGUCGAGCGAGGUGGACUUGAAAUGAUUUGGUUGGCAGCCCUGAACUCAAAAAGAAAUAAUAAAAGAGUAUACCAAAGUAAACUUUGUAACACAAUUAUCUGACCCAUGAAGUUUGCAGCUUCGUCACCAUACAUGCUGUUCAAUAAUGGGAUCCCUACAAUCAAGGUGUUGGGUAGUGUGGAUAAAGAGAAUGCAGUGAUCAGCCAAUCAAAAUUCCCUCUAGACCAUACACUGCAUAGGAUUGUAGAUAGGAACAUGGCUAACAACUUCUGUAAUAUGUCCGCAGAUAUAAGUUUAACAUCCAUUUGAUAGGGAUUGUUGGUUGAGAUGACAUGGAAGGAAAGCAGAGGAAUUGAGAAUCUUGACACAAAUUUGUUAAUUCCAGAGCACUGCUCAGGUGUGAAUAAUUUCCACAGCUUAAUAGAGAGAUAAGCCAAGAUCAUUGCAGCAUACAAUGGUACUAUCGCCUCGACGACCUGGUAGGCAUUUGUCCAAGUGAUCAUAUUGGCUAUAAGUUUUUCAACAAUGGCAGAGGAUUAAAUGUUCCUGUGCAUGUGCAACACUUUAUAAAGACGGUUUACAGGGAUUAAGGCAAGAAGAAUAAAGAAGUGAAUUGCAGACGAAGAAAGGGAGUGAUAUGUUACCUCACUGUACAAGUUAUUGAUGAUGGCAAAUAAGGUAAAAGGAGGAGAAUAAGUGCAACAUUAAGCUUGCUUUACAUGGCUGAACAUCUAUCCAAAAUUGAUAGAUCCUUCUUUUCUAAAGCCUUUCACUUGCAGUUUUGUUUGUCUCUCCAUAAUGAUGUCAUGGGCCAUAGACUUUAUUCUUCUGCUUCAUACACCUAUAGUGGCAGACCAGCUGAUUAUGACUACAGGAACUGUGAGGACUACAGCUCAAAAAUUAACCCAAUUUAAGUUAUAAGUUGGGCCAAGUAUCAUUUUGCCACAGAACCAUAGAACUGUCAAAGUAUCAGUUUACCUCUAGUACCAUUGGUAAUAACGCUCUGUGUCCAUGCUAUACCUCUUAAGAAAUGUAUGAAUUCUAGAAGAAUAAUGUUAUUUUGCCUUCGCGUAGAAUUUUAUUAAGAGUUAUAUUUUGACAGAUUCUAAUAUUAGAUCAUUCCUAAUAAAUAUGUAAUAUUG